rnacentral:tRNA from 1 species
ACUUGAAUAGCUUAAAUUAAAGCGUAAUAUUGAAGAUAUUAAGAUAAGUGAUACUUUUCAAGUA